UAGCAACAUGCAUUUUGGAGAGAAUGGAGUAUCCACUUCUGUAAGAUAUUUCUGUAGUUGUAGAAAUUAUUCUGGGGAAAUUACUUUUUUUCCCCUCCUUAUCAUUUAAUAGUCUGCUGUGAAGUGCAUCCGCCCUCUGGAGAGAUAGGCUCGCUCCAUAAUCGUGUUGCUGCUGAGAAAAGGCCCCUACUGACACUUUUCAUCAACCCCACACCAAUCUUUUCUACAGACCCAGCUCCUCAUCUACCGUGGCUUGCCAAGGACCAUGACCUCCCUCAGACCCCUCUCCAUCCUUCCGGGACUCACCAGCUCUUAGCCUGCUUACCUCCGGUGACUCUCCACACAUAACCUAAAACCCAAACCAUCCGCCCUCCC
rnacentral:lncRNA from 1 species